rnacentral:rRNA from 1 species
UACAGAGGGGGCAAGCGUUGUUCGGAAUUACUGGGCGUAAAGGGCGCGUAGGCGGCCUUCUAAGUCGAACGUGAAAUCCCUGGGCUCAACCCAGGAACUGCGUCCGAUACUGGAAGGCUUGGAUCCGGGAGAGGGAUGCGGAAUUCCAGGUGUAGCGGUGAAAUGCGUAGAUAUCUGGAGGAACACCGGUGGCGAAGGCGGCAUCCUGGACCGGCAUUGACGCUGAGGCGCGAAAGCCAGGGGAGCAAACGGG